GUAGCAGAAGAAGCUUUAGUGCUGGUGGUAAAAGGCCAGACCAUGAAGAGGCAAGUGACAGAUGCAGGGGUGAGUCCCGAGAAGGGGGAGAGAGUGCAUCCAGAGGCCAGGAGGGAAGAGGAUAGGAGAGAAAGUAGAGCAAGCAUGUGGUUGGAAAAGUUAGGCAUGGUGACCUGAUUGGAACUGGAGGCAGUAGGGGCCUGAUGGAAGGGCACGCUUGGAGAAGAGUGGCCGGGUUGUUAGCUCAGGCCAACAUAAUGAGGUUUGGUGUGGGCUCCUUAUGCAUCUCAGAUGUCCAUGUGAGGAGGUGCUACAGUGAGACUGUGGCCAGAAGUUAAAAGGGAAGCAGCGUGUGACCAUCCCAGACUCCCUAACUGUCCCUUCCCCCUGGCAACCAUAAGUCCACUUUCAAUGUCUGUGAGUCUCUUUCUGUUUUGUAAGGAAGUUCAUUUGCGUCAUUUCUCCUUAGAAAUGCUAUAUUUUAAAUGGAUAACCAACAAGGACCUAGAACCUAAAACACUGCUAUAUUUAAAGUAGAAACCCAACAAGGACUAUUGCAUAGCACAUGGGAGUCUGCUCAGUGUUGUGUGGCAGCCUGGAUGGGAGCGGAGGUUUGGGGGAGAUGGAUGCAUGUAUGUGCAUGGCUGAGUCCCUUUGCUGUUCACCUGAGUCUAUCGCAACAUUGUUAAUCAACUAAACCCCAAUACAAAAUUAAAAGUUCAAAAAAAAAAAAAAAGAAGAAAAGGGAAGAGCACAGCAAGCUCCCACUGGGUGUUCUCACACGGACUGUGUUCUCUAAUCCCUUGAGAUGGUCAGAGACAGAGGGAGUAGCCACACCAGCCCCUAAUUUUCCUCUCCCCGUUUCAUAACAACUUCCUAAAGAAAUAGUCUAAACUUUUAUUUACCUUUCCUUCCUCAAUCCACUUCACUUACGUUCCUGUUUCCCUCUGCCAUUGAAAUUUCUCUCUUCAGGGUUAAGUAUCCUCCAACUUGCCAAAUCUAAUGUCUUCUCCUUACUAUACCGCUUAGCAGCAUUUGACUGCUCACAGCUCCCUUCUUUAAAUUUUUCCUUUUUUUAAAUUUUGGCUCCUGUUAUUCCAGACUCUUCCAGUGUUCUUACCUUUUUGAUGCCUCUUCAGCCUGGUAUCUCACAUUAGAAUCCCCUAGUUUGGGCCUACACUCUACCUGCCCUCACUCUCUAGGUGAUUUUACCUAGUCCAGGGUUUUAAACCCCAUCUGCAUACUGAAGACUUUUGAUCUGUUCUCUUCACUUCUGAUGGACCUUUUCUUUGAGUGUCAGGCUCAAACUCAGCUGCCUACCUGAUGUGUUCAUUUGGGGCUACUAGAUACCAAUACCCUAAUGUGUCCAAACUCAUUUCUGCUCCCACCAAACACACACACCUCCUGCCCUAGUCUUUUCUGAUCUUAAUAAAAGGAACCAUUUGUCACCUAGUUGCCCACUUCCCCAAGCUAAGUCAUUCUUGAAACCACUCUUUUCCCUUCCCCACUCUGACCAAUAUCCAAGGCAUUGGAUAAUGCUAUGGACUCAACUUCCAGAAUACAUUAUGAUGACUGCUCACCACCUCUGUGCUGUUUCCCCAGUCCAAGUUGUCGUCACCUCUAAUCCAGACAGCUGCGAGAACUCUUCACCUGAUUCCCUGGUUAUACAAUUAUAGCUCUGUGACUUACAUUCCAUAAGAAACCAGGAUGAUCUUUUAAAAAAUUAAGUCAGAACAGAUCAUGGCCCUGCUCAAGAUCCCCUCCUGGCUUCCUUUUACAGUUGAAAACCCUUACCAGGCCCAUGAUAUAAGCUUUUUUCUUUUUUGGUUGGUCCAUACACGGCUUGCAGGAAAUUGGUUCUCCGACCAAGGACAGAACCCUGGGCCCUCAGCAGUGGACACAUAGAGUCCUAACCCCUGGACCACCAGGGAAUGCCCAGACCCAUGUGAUCUGGCUCCUUCUCCCUCUUUUGAAGCCACUCAUCUGCUCUCUCCCAGCACUCAACACACUGGCCUCCUCUCUUGACUCCUCAAAUUAUUUGCUGUUCACCUUCCCUAAAAUGCUUCUCCUCCAUUGCUUUAUGGGGCUACUUUCUCUUUAUCACUGAAAUCUCAGCUCAAAAGUCAUCUCUUCAGGAUUACGCUGGUGGUCUGGUGGCUAAGACUCCAUGCUUCCUAUGCAGGAACCUGGGUUUAAUCAAUCCCUGGUCAGGGAGCAAGAUCUUACAUGCCGCAACUAAGGUUGGUACAGACAAAUAAAUAAUAAAUAGAAUAAAUAUUUUUUAAAAAAUCAUCUCUCAGAGAAGGGGCCCAUCAUUCUCUUCACCUCUAUCCAAUUAUUCUAUCCUAUUUUCUUCACAGCUUUUUGACACUUAACAUUUUUUUUUAUAUUUUAAAAUAUCAACAACUCACAAAUCCAUUUAUACUAGCUUCAAAUGGUAUUUGGGAGUAAGAAAUAUUCUAAUGUUCCCAGGACAUUUCACAGCUACUAACACUGCCUGAAAGUAUUCUCUUUCAUUUUCUCUUUUUUUAUCAUCUCUGUCUCCAGCAGGCUCUAUAAGGGUAAUUGUCUUGUCUGCCAUGUUGAUCACUGUAUCCCAGUGCCUAGAACAAUGCCCAGUGCCUAUCCGGUGCUUGAUAAAUAGUCGGUGUUACCAUGCAGCCACAAGCUCUCUUUAUGUGUAUUAACCAGGCAAGUCUCAGUGACCACAUGUCCACCUUUGCCUUCUGAUGAAACUACCCUGCUCAUGGCUCCUAUAUUGAGAAUCAGAGAUAUGCUGCUCUUUGGGCAGAAGAAAUAAGUGCUGAACCCCAGUCUAUCAAUAGCCAAUGCAGAGGCCAACCAGCAGCCACUUUAAUGUGGUCUGGAAUAAAACUAUGGGGCUGGGCCCAUCCCAUUCUCCUCUGGAAAGCCAGUAGGAAAAAGAGCAACCGAGGCAGUUAUGAGUUGUAUCUGAGGCUAAAAGAUCCUAACUAGAGAAAAUCAAGAGGACAUAAUGGUCCAUGUGUGAGCCAAAGGUGGGAAAGCAGAAAGAAUGGAUUAGAAACCUUGAGCUAGAGACAAGAGAUUCAUCAAUAAGGGAGAGGGGAGAACUGGCCCUUUGCUGAACAGCUGGGUUGUACUGGUGUUUUUGCCAACAUAGUGAGUUCCCAGCUUGGCUGGGUACUUUUAACAUAACGGUGUUCUCUCAACAGCUAUGGAACAUCUCUAAUGCUCUUGAUUUAGGAUUUCAGCUGCAUUCUGUUUAUGCGCACAUGGCCUUGAGAUUCCACGAUCUCGCCAUGGUUUCAGGUGGACAGCAAAGCCCUUCAGUGACUUUUGAGCAGUGACUGGCCCAGGCCAUUGAUGUUCAACAUGACUCUUCACCUUGUUGAUGCGUCUGGGUACCCAUAAAGGUGCAAAUAAAAGAGAAGUCACUCCAACGAGAAGGCUGCACAUCACUGCUGAAGAGUGGCCCCCACUCACCGCAACUAAGGAAAGCCAGGGUGCUGCAGUGAAGACCUGGAGCAGCAGAAAUGACACAAGGAGAUUAGUUUUCCUAAAGUUCAGUUCAGUUCAGUCUCUGAGUCGUGUCCGAC